CCAGAGGGGGCGGAGCGGGAGGUCACGUGACGGGCGGGCGGGAGGUACCGCGCAGCGGCGUAAACAAGCUGGUGGCGGCUGGGUGUGGUUGGAGGGCCCUCCCGCUUGCCCCUGGAGUCGUUUCUGCCCUUCGCGCGCCUGGCGCCCCCUCGAGUGUUCCUGUGGGCGGCUACAGAACAGCGAUCCUGUUUCCCGAGGAGCCCGCGUGGGUGAAGGGCCUGCUUAGGAGCCCUUAGGGGAGUUGCAGCUCACCAGGGAUGGGGCGGAAAGCCGGGGGUCAGGGCUGCCUCCUUCCUGGGCUGAGGAUUUGCAGAAGCCCGCCUCCGGCAUUGCGGGGGACCCCCCUGGCUUCUGCCUUCAAAUAGCUCACACUUCACACCUAGUCAUGACGUCUAGGGCAAACCAGCCCUAGUAGGAGGCAGCUUUCAAAUCAGAACGCCUUGUUGCGUUCCCUGCUGAAACAAAGCUUUAAGUCCUCCAAGCUUCAGUUUCUUGACAUGGGCACAGUGACAUUUGCGACGUGAGGAAUCAAUGAGAUGAAGUAUAGACAGCGUUGAGCCCAGAGCCCUGCGCCUGCGAAAUGCUCUCUCGCUAGGUAGGUGGGCUUUGUCGCGAGGCUGGAUGUGAGAAGCUCCAGCACGAACAGGAAGCACUGUGAGAGGAGGCACAGUGCGAUGAAGUCGAACUAUGGGAUCUGAAAGGCGUUUUGAAGGAGUGGGCAUCAGGCUGGGUUUUAAAGGAAAGGGCCGGCUGUCAGCAUCCCUCACUCCCAGAAGCGGGUCUGCUAAACACAAAAUUCUUCUGUGUCACCACCCAAGCAUAGUCUGCAUGGGGUCCAGAGGUGGAAAUGUUGAGGGAGACAGAGAAGGAUCUGGGUUCUCUCAGUUCCACCAAUCUACAAACUACUUCACAGGAACAGACUCUUCCCUUUGCAUUCGCACCAGGGCAGGGAUUCAAGUGUGUUCAGAGAUUUCUGAGACCAUCAGUGAAGGGAGACCUAAGGAGGAGGGUAGCAGCAGUGCUGCUCUGGAGCUCUGACCCAGGAAGCCCCCACACCCUGACUUUCCUUGGCUCCAUGACCUCAUCCUGCAGGAAUGCAUCCGGCCACAGAGUGGAGCAGCCACGCAGAGUUCAUCAAUUGCUCGUUUUCCAGGGAUCAUAACCACAUUGUCACUGUACACUGUCUGGAAGAAGAAUAGUCGUUGUUAUCUCAAGAUGGACCACCAGGGGCUUGUGAGAAGAGGCUGAAGAUGACAGGCAGAGACAGCCCUACCACCAUCUCCCACCACUUACCAGCCUGGGCCACCUAGAUGUUUUCUGCUUCUCUGGGGUUGAUUUUUGUCAUUUGCUUAACAGACACUAAUCAGACCGCUACCUUCCACACACCACCCUGGAGCCUCCCUGCGACAGGGGAACUUUCUGACCAGCCUGUCUGAGCAUAGAAGGGCUGAGCCCUGCAUAGGCAGGUGGUGCUGACAGGAUGCAUGUCUUGGAGGACAUCUGCUGCAUUUGGCUGUGUCACGUCUCCCCCUUGCCUUCAGAAGAGGGUCAUUAAACUGGGACGAGGAAGCUGUGGCCUCUCCCUUCCCCUGGCCUACAGCAAGCUGUGUGACAAGUCGGGUUAAAGAGUGAAAGAGACAGAGACGGAGAUGGAAAGAGAAAUUCAUGCCCCUAUCUCCUUAUUUCCAGAGUCCUUGAAGCCAGCUUUGCCCUGCCUUCCAAGUUCCGUGCAGCAAUAACUAUUUCGGCCAAUGCUAAUUUCACUGGAUUUCUCUCCUUCAUAAACAAAAGGCCUGGAUAUAGUGGGAUUCAGAGACCUUUGGAAGGACACCACCAGUCAAAAAUAUUGUUCAUCCACUUGAAUUGCUUUUUGGCUUUAGCUUUCAGCUAUCUGUGCGGCAGCCUCCUGGCCAGGAGCCCUGCCAUCAGCGGGCAUCCCAAACAGAAUGGGAUCUGAGCCUCUGCUGGCAGUCCCCAAGGCCCACGGCGGCCCUGGCCUCUCUAGCCCAUCAGCUUCCCCUUGCUAUCUAGCACCGUGUCCUCUAGUACCAAGGAGCGCCUGGAGGCUUCACACUGCCCUGCCUUGGCUCAGACCAUCUCCUCUCCCUCUGUACCAGAUGGCCUCUGCAGCCUGUGCUGGCCAUUCUCCAUUUGCCCUUCUCUGUCUGGACUCCCCUCUAAGCCUCACCUGCUAAGCAAGUCCUCUCCCUCCUCUUGCAUUUGACCAAAGUGCAGCAGGGUCAGGGGAGCAAGGAAGAGCCUUCCCACCAGGCCUGGCCUAGCCAUGAUGCACAGCUCCUGCUGCGUGGCCUGUCUUGGUGUUAAUAAUGGUUCCCCCAACUCUCUCUUCACACUCAGAGGUGAUCCCCACAGCUCAUUAGUCCUUAGGUGCUUCAGCACCUCUUUUUUUCUCUGAAGCUGCUCACACCUGUCUUUUUAAUUAUCCCUUGGAGGGUGGUUCUAUUUCCCACAGGGGUCCCAACUGCUACUGCUACAGCCCCUUCUUAGAGAAUCUGCCUUCAGCUUCGGCUACUGACUCUGAACCAAGCCAAACACACAGAUGCUUACACACACAAACCUCUGACUGGACCUGGAUUAGGGCUGAAAACCUUCCUCACACUGAGCCAGCAAGAUUCUCCUUUUUGAGAAUUUGCACUGAGAGACCCCAAGGCUGAGACAUACGGCGUUGGUCAAGGGUUGAAACUUUACACAACUGCAGGCGAACUAUUCAAACAAUGCUCCAGAAGAGGCAGGUCACUUAGAAAAUGCCUCAGACAGGUGCCCAUGGGGGUUUUGCAAUAAGAAGGGACCGUGCUGUUCCCUGCGGGGGGAGGGGGAGUCAUGUGGAGUUGGAUCCAGCCAUGGCCACCAGCACUCUGGACAGCAGAGGUUAAGCAGGAAGAACAGCUAAGAGCCUCGCAGAGGAAGCCAGCAUGCCCAGACCAGUAAGGAGCAGCUGUGGUAAUGGAGAGGAAGGAGAGCUGCAAGACUAGCCCAUUGCCCAGGAGCCUGCUUACGUCUAGAAGAUGCCCCUGUAUCUUUUCAAUAAAUUCCACUUUUUCAUGCCUGUAAUCCCAGCACUUUGGGAGGCUGAGGCAGGAAGAUUGCUUGGGGGCAGGAGUUAGAAGCCAGCCUGGGCAACAUAGCCAGACCCCAUCUCUACAAAAAAUAAAAAUUAGCCAGACAUGGUGGCAUGUUACUUGGGCAGGUCAGGCAGGAGGAUCACUUGAGCCCAGAACAUUGAAGCUGUAGCGAGCUGUGGUUGUGCCACUGUACUCCAGCCUGAGUGACAGAGUAAGACACUGUCUCUAAAAAAUAAUGAACACACACGUGUGCAUGCACACACACACACACACUCUCACCACUUUUACCUGAACUAGAUGUUCGGUUCUGUUCCUGACAACCAAUGCCACAACCGAGGCCAGAUGGCCAAGAAUGCUUUCCUUUCUUCUUUAUCCAGAUCACACCUGUUCCUCCAAGACUCAACUCCAAUGUGAUCUUCACCAGGAAGUCUUCUUGGGACCCCCAGGAUGGCAUAAAGGUCCCUGCCCUGACUCCACUACCGCUGCCAAAUGCACACCUUCAUUCCUUCCACCGAACCACCUGCUUACUCAGGUUGUGUUUAUGGGGCUGUCUCCCAAGUUCUCAAGAACUCUGCUGCCCCCAGGAGGCGGGAUGGAUAACAGGGCCCUUGAAACGUCUAGUUCAAGGUCGAAAGACAGGCACAGACUGGGACCGGUGGCUCACACCUGUGAUCCCAGCACUUCAAGAGGCCAAGGCAGGUGGGCCACUGGAAACCAGGAGUUCAGGAUCAGCCUGAGCGACAUAAUGAGACCCCCAUCUCUACAAAAAAUUUUAAAAAUUAGCCAGGCAUACUGGUGCACACCUGUAGUUCCACCAACUUGGGAGGCUGAGGUGGGAGGAUCACUUGAGCCCAGAAGUUGGAAGCUGCAGUGAGCCAUGAUCUUGCCACUGCACUAAAGCUGGGCAACAGAGUAAGACCCUGUCCCCCCAAAAAAAAAAAAAUUUAAAAGCCGAGAGCAAACAUUUGAAGACUAACGCUAAGUAGGAGUAGUGUCAGGGGCCAAGACCUAUUCUUGCUGCAUGGAUUGGUGUCCAUGACAGCUCAAGUGCCUGCAGGACUGGUGCCAUCUUGGUUGGCUGUUAUUUCAACAGAUGGAGUGAAAUUUAUUGUCUCACGGUUCUAGAGGCCAGAAGUCCAAGAUCAAGGUGUCGGCAGGGUUGGUUCCUUCUGAAGGCGUGAAGGGAAAUCUGGUCCAUGCCUCGCCCCCAGCCUCUGGAGUUGGCUGGCCAUCCUGAGGCUCGAGCCCUCCUCGUUCAUUGGCUUGAGAUGUAUCACACUGUUCUCUGCCUUCAUGUUCACAUGACAUUCUCCCUGUGAGCUUGUCUCUGUGUCCAAAAUUUCCCCUUAUUGUAACUACACCAGUAACAUCGAAUUGAGGGCCCGCCCUAUUCCAGCAUGACCUCAAUGUAACUAAUUGCACCUGCAGCGACCUUAUAAAUAGUCACAUUCUGAGGAACUGCAAGUAAGGACGUCAACAUGUCAGUGUUUGGGGGAACUAAUUCAGCCCAUAGCAGGUACCCAGGGCUGAGUUUGUCACAUCAUUAUCCAUGGUUUGUGAAGGGGCCCUCUCUAAUUUUUGUACUUGCAUUUGUUUGUUACCUUUUUUUAUUUUUAUUUUUCUUGAGAUGGAGUCUUGCUCUAUCGCCCAGGCUGGAGUACAGCGGCAUGAUCUUGGCUCACUGCAACCUCCGCCUCCCAGUUCAAACUCUGCCUGCCUCAGCCUCCUGAGUAGCUGGGAUUACAGGCAUGAGCCACCACACUUGGCUAGUUUUUACAUUUUUUGGUAGAGAUGGGGUUUCACCAUUUUGGCCAGGCUGGUCUUGAACUCCUGACCUCAAGUGCCUCAGCCUCCCAAAGUACUGGGAUUACACGGGUGAGCCACCAUGCCCGGCCCUGUUAUCUUUGUUCCCCACAACCAGUUUCCUCCUUGCACAUAAGCAACCAUUGUCAUGUAUAUCAUGUGUAUCCUUUUGUCUGUAUGCAUCCUUGCAAAAUGUGUGGGUAUUUUUAGUUUAUGUUAAGUGGAAUCAUGUUAUAGGUGGCAAUCUGUUUCUUACUUUUUCUCCCCAUUCAGCAUCAUUUUGAAGCUCCAUCUAGCUGCUGAGAAUUAUUUCAUAAUGUGAACCUGCCCUAACCUGCUUUGCAUUCCCUCAGGGAUUGACAACUGCAGUAGCACCAGAAGUGACAUUGUGAUAAACAUCACUGCAUACCUUACACUAUACUGUUCCCUUAUGGAUCUAGCUCAGAAUUUAUUUGGGAUACACAACCAGGAGUUAAACUGAUGGGUCAUAGCGUACAUGGACUUACUCUUUUUUUUUUCUUUUCUUUUUCAGAUGGGUCUUGCUGUUGCCCAGUUUGGUGUACAGUGACUUGAACACAGCUUACUGCAGCCUCUACCUCCUGGGCUCAAGAGAUCCUUCCUUCUAAGCCCCUGAGUAACAGGACCACAAGCUUAUGCCACCAUGCCUGGAUUUUUUUUUUUUUUUUUUUUUUUUUUUUUUUGUAGAGAAGGGUCUUGUCAUGUUGCUCAGACUGUAGACUUACUUUUUUUUUUUUUUUUUUUAAUUUCCAGGGUACAUGUGCAGGAUGUGCAGGUUUGUUACACAGGUAAACAUGUGCCAUGGUGGUUUGCUGCACCUAUCAACCCAUCACCUAGUUAUUAAGCCCAGCAUGCAUUAGCUUUUCCUGAUGCUCUCCCUCUCCCUGCCUGCCGACAGGCCCCAGAGUGUGUUGUUCCCCUCCCCAGGCCCCAGAGUGUGUUAUUCCCUUCCCUGUGUCCAUGUGUUCUCAUAUUUCAGCUCCCACUUAUAAGUGAGAACAUGUGGUGUUUGGUUUUUUAGACUUACUUUUAAGAUACACCACCGAAUUGUCUAGGAAGCCUGCCUCAGCCUACACUUUCACCAGAACCCUGCAAAAGCAUCCACAUCCCUGUCCACACUUGCUGUUGACUAGCUCUUUAACUUUUUCAGUAUAAUGGGCUAAAGUAACAUGUUUUUGUUUCAAUUGGUUUCUCUUUGACUUAAUGAGUUGGAGCACUUUUAUAUCUUUGUUAUGAGUCUGUGGGUUACUAUCUCUAUAGACAGCUGGUUCUUACCUUUUGACCAUUUUUCCAGUACAGUUACUAUCUCUUUCUUGAUUUGCUGAAGUGCCCUGUGUAUUCUAUACACGUGUUCCUUGUUGGUUAUAGAUAUUUCUUUUUUUAUUUUUAUUUUUUGAGACAGAUUCUCACACUGUCUCCUGGGAUGGGGUGCAGUGGCACAAUCUCAGCUCACUGCAACCUCCACCUCCUUCCUCUUCAAGGAAAUGCAUAUAAAGUUCCUACAAUAGGUAUAAUGUUUGCUCUAAGACUUUGGUAUAUGACUUUCACCAAAUUAAAGAAUAGAUGUGGACCUCAUCCAAUACUUUUUCUGCAGUCAUCGAAUUGAGGGCCUUUAUUUUAGCCUCUCAUGGUGAAGUACACAGAUAUGUUUUUAAUGGUGAUUUGUCUUUGCACUCCUAGGACAAGCACAACUUGAUCAUGACGCAUUUUUUAAAAUACUUGUUGGAUUUGGUUAAUUCAUGUUUUAUUAAGGAUGUUUGUAUUUAUUUUAUAUGUUUACAGUUCUUUUAAUUGGAAUGUAUAGACCAUUUACAUUUAAUGUAAUUAUCAGUAUAGAUGAUUUAAGUUUACCUUCUUGAUAUUUGCUUUCUGUUUUUACAUCUGUUCUUUGUUCCUCUCUUUUGUCUUUUUCAGCCUCCUUUUGGAUUAAUUUAGCAUUUUUUAGAAUUCCAUUUUACCACCACUAUUGGCUUCUUUGCUAUACAUCUUUGUUUUGUGUUUUUAGUGAUUGUUCUAUGACUUAUAAUAUGAAUCUUUAACUUAUCACCAUCUAUAUUCAGUGGGUACUAUACCAUUUCAGGUAUAAUUUAAGAACCUUGUAACAGUAUACUUCUGGCCAGACGUAAUGGCUCCACACCUGUAAUCCCAGCACUUUGGGAGGCCAAGGCAGGCAGAUUGCUUGGGUCCAGGAGUUUGAGACAAACCUGGGCAAAAUGGCAAAACCACGUCUCUACUAAAAAUACAAAACUUAGCUGGGCCUGGUGGCAAGUACCUGUAGUCCCAGCUACUUGGGAGGCUGAAGCAGGAGGAUGGCUUGAGUCCAGGAGGCGGAGGUUGCAGCAAACCGAGACGGCACCACUGCACUCCAGCCUGGGUGACAGAGUGAGACCCCAUCUCAAAAAUAAAAUAAAAUAAACAAUACUAUUUCCUCCCCCCUGUUCUUUGUAAUAUUGUUGCCAUAAACUUUACUUCUACAUAGGUUAUAAAACCCUAUGUGGGGGUUUAUAUUGUAAAACUAUUGUUAUUUUUGUUUUAAAGAAUCAAUUUUUAAUUUUUUUAGACAGUGUCUUGGUCUGUCGUUGAGGCUGGAAUGCAGUGGAGUGAUCGUAGAUCACUGCAACCUCCACAUCCCAGGGCUCAAGUGAUCCUCCUGCCUCAGCCUCUUGGGUAGCUGGGACUACAGGCAUGUGUAUUGCCACACCCAGCUAAUUUUUGCAUUUUUUUUUUUUGGUAGAGACAGGGUUUUGCCAUGUUGCCCAGGGUGGUCUCAAACUCCUGGGCUCAAGCAAUCCUCCUGCCUUGGCCUCACAAAGUGCUGGGAUUAUAGGUGUGAGCAACCACAUCUGGCCAAAUAUUUUUUAAAGAAAUAAAAAACUAAGAAAAAAUAUUUUAUAUUUUCCCACAUAUUUACCAUUGCUAGCAUUCUUCAUUUCUUUUGGUAGAUCUAAGUUUGCAUCUGGUAUUAUUUUCCUUCUACUUAAACAACUUCCUUUAACAUUUUUUAUAAAAUGAGCAUGCAAUAAAUUCUCUUGACCUUCAUCUGCAAAAGUAUUUUACCUUUAUUUUUGAAAGAUAUUUUUGCUGGGUAUAGAAUUCUAGGUUGACAGUUUCUUUCUUUCAGCCUUUUUUCUCUUUUUUGAGACAGGGUCUUACUCUGUCACCCAGAUGGAAUGUAGUGAUGUGUUAAUAGCUUACUGCAACCUCAAAUUCCUGGGCUAUAGCAGUCCUCCCAUCUCAGCCUCUCAAGUAGCUGGGACUACGGUUGCACACCACCAUGACCAGCUAAUUUUUAAAACUGUCAGUCUUUUGAUCUACUCAGGCCUUGAAUUGAUUAGAUGAGGCCCACCCACAUAAUGGAAGACAAUCUGCUUUAUUCAAAGUCCACUUAUUUAAAUGCUCAUCUCAUCCAAAAACACAUUUAACCAAACAUGUGGUCACUCUGUUCCAGACAAAUUGAGACAUAAAAUUAGCCAUUAUACUGAGUCUAGAAAAGCAAGUUUCUUAGCCUCUCUAACUGUGCUUUUAUUGUUGAUUUUUAAACCAUUCUAAGGUAAAACGUUCUUGUUCCAAAGAAAAGCUACCAUCAUACCCUUUUCCCCCACCUCCUUUUUUUUCCCCAAAGAAAAGCAUUGAUGUAGAUUAGAGAACUGUCAUUUCCAUUAAUUGUCUUCUAAAAAGCCUUGCUUGGCAAGUAGACCAGAAAAUGUAAAAAUCAUGUGUCAGCAUAGGAUAUGAAUGUUCACAAAAGUGAUAGGCUGCUCAGUAAAUCCCAGGAAAUAGCCUAAAGGUGUCAGCCCCAGACAGAGAUUCCAGGAACCAAUGGAUGCUCUUCCAUUCUUCCCUGCCAAAGUACAGCAGUUUGACUUCUCCAACUGCACCCUUUAAAAUGUACCACCUGUUGCUGGAUUCAUUCAAAACAACACAUGUAUUUCAAGCCUUCUCUUUUGUGCUUCCUGUGACCAAAGAAUGUAUUCAUUGUCUAUUACUAUGUAACAAUUAAUUCUGAAAUGCAGAGUUAUUAGAAACAUAGAAUUGAAACAACACUACCUAUUAUCUCACAUUUCUGUGGUUCAGAAAUAUGGGUGUAGGUUAGCUGGGUCCUGUGGCUUAGGGCUCCUCACAGGGCUGCAGUUUAGAUGUCAGCUGGGGCUACAGUCAUCCCAAGGCUUGACAGGAAGGAUGCACUUCCAAACUCACACACAGUUAUUGAAAAGAUUCAGUUCCUUGUCAUGUGGGCUCUUCCAUAGGGCAGCUCAAAAUGUGGCAGCUGGUUUCCAUCAGAGACAGUGAAAAAGAGUGUAAACAAGAUGAAAGACAGAGUGUCAUAACCUAACCCUGCAAGUAUGCCAUCCCAUCACGUUUUCUAUCCUAUUCUUUAGAGGGAAGUGACUAGGUAGUCUUGGUGUGCCUACGGAAGUUACUGCUCACACCCAAUGGGAAGGAACCACACAGGUUGUAAAUUUCAGGAUUUUAGGCAUCAUUGGGGAUGAUUUGCAUCCAGUGCUUAAUACACAACUUGCAUGGCCUGGGAAACACCUUUCUCUAACUGGCUGCCCUGACACCUUCAGACAAAGUAGCAGAUCCUUCUCUGGUCCCCAUAAUAUUCUUCUGUUCAUACAUCUACCAUCCUAGGUAUCACAGUAAUGAUGUAACAGCUAGCACUUAAUGAGGAGUUGCUAUGAGCCCAUAUUGUUCUAAGCACUCUACGUGUAUUAAGUGAAGAGUAUGUAGUCGUUUAUGUGUCAAUGCAGAGAAGCACUCAUUCAUUCAACAGUGAUGUAUUAGCGUCUCCUCUGCACUUCUUUGCUAGACAUGGGGGAACUUAGUAGUGAACAAGAGAGAGUCCCCAGACUCAAGAACCUUAUGUAGACCAGGAUGGGAGAUGAAGAGGUACAGGCACAGUUAUAAUACAACCCAGUAUAUGUUGUUACAGCAAAAGUAAAAGACACUUCAGUAGCAGGCACCCAGAUCACUUUUGUCAGAGGUAGCAUUUUUAAUUCAGAUAUGAAGAAUAAGUAGCAGUUAGCUAGGAAAAGUGAGAGAAGGUUAGAAAGCUAGAACAUGGGCCGGGCGCGGUGGCUCAAGCAUAUAAUCCCAGCACGUUGGGAGGCUGAGGCAGGUGGAUCACGAGGUCAAGAGAUCGACACCAUCCUGGUCAACAAGGUGAAACCCCGUCUCUACUAAAAAUACAAAAAAUCAGCUGGGCAUGGCGGCGCGUGCCUGUAAUCCCAGCUACUCAGGAGGCUGAGGCAGGAGAAUUGCCUGAACCCAGGAGGUGGAGGUGCGGUGAGCUGAGAUGGCGCCAUUGCACUCCAGCCUGGGUAACGAGCGAUACUCCGUCUCAAAAAAAAAAAAAAAAACAGGUUUUGGCCGGGCCUGAUGGCUCACGCUUAUAAUCCCAGCACUUUGGGAGGCUGAGGCAGGCAGAUGACCUGAGGUUGGGCAUUUGAGACCAGCCUGAUCAACAUGGAGAAACCACAUCUCUACUAAAAAUACAAAAUUAGCCGGGCAUGGUGAUGCAUGCCUCUAAUCUCAGCUGCUCGGGAGGCUGAAGCAGGAGAAUCUCUCGAACCCAGGAGGUUGCAGUGAGCUGAAAUUGUCAUUGCACUCUAGGCUGGACAGCAAGUGUGAAACUCCAUCUUAAAAAAAAAAAAAAAGAGAGGCCAGGCACGGUGGCUUAUGCCUAUAAUCCCAGCACUUUGGGAGGCCGAGGCGGGCAGAUCACAAGCUCAAGAGAUCGAGACCACCCUGGUCAACAUGGUGAAACCCCAUCUCUGCCGAAAAUAUGAAAAUUAGCUGGUCAUGGUGGUGCGAGCCUGUAUUCCCAGCUACUUAGGAGGCUGAGGCAGGAGAAUUGCCUGAACCCAGGAGGCGGAGGUUGCAGUGAGCCGAGAUCGCGCCAUUGCACUCCAGCCUGGGUAACAAGAGCGAAACUCCAUCUCAAAAAAAAAAAAAGAGAGAAAGGAAAGAGGUUUAUUUGGCUCACAGUUCUGCAAGCUGUACAGGGAGCAUAGCAGCAUCUGCUUCUGAGAAGGCUUCAGGAAGCUUCCAGUCAUGGUGGAGGGAAAAUGGAAAGCAGGCACGUCACAUGGUGAAAGCAUGGGCAAGAAAGAGAGAUGGAGGAGGUGCCACACACUUAUAAAUGACCAGAUCUCAUAAGAAGUCAUUCGCUUUCAAGAAGACAAUACUGAGAGGAUGGUACUAAACCAUCUAUGAGAAAUCUGCCCCUGUGAUCUAAUCACCUCCCACUGGACCCUACCUCCGACGUUGGAGAUUAUGUGCCAACAUAAGAUUUGGGCAGGGACACAUAUCCAAACUAUCACAAGGUGGCUGGAAUGUAAGUGGUGCCAUUCCCUGAGACAUGAGGUGGGGAGUGGGCUGGGGAACAUGGGCUGAUGUCACUUUGGGACCAGCUCAAUUGAGAUGCUAGAGAGACAGGCCCAAUGGACAUAGAUUUGGAGUUUAAACUUGAAGGCAGAGGCCGAGAUUUGGGAAGUGCUGGUAUUCAGAGGGUAAAUGAGGCCAGGAGAACUGGCCAUGGCAGCCGAGGGUGUGCAGUGUAUGAGCUGGGCCCUCUGGUGAGGACAGAGACAGUUGGCCUACUGACAGCCUUGCUCUGCAAUCCAGCUGUGUGGUCCUGGGUGAGUCUCCAAGCCUCAGUUUCUCGAUCUGUAAAAUGGAGAUGACACCGCUACCUUAAAUCCCCAGCUCAGAGGGUUCCCAGGACAGUGAUAGAUAUGGCUGUGUCUCCACCCAAAUCUCAUCUUGAAUUGUAGUUCUCAUAAUCCCCAUGUGUCAUGGGAGGGAACCUGUGGGAGUAAUUGAAUCACGGGGGCAGUUAUUCCACGCUGUUGCGUUAGCUAGUGAGUUCUCACAAGAUCUGAUGGUUUUAUAAGGGGCUUUUCCUACUUUGCUUGGCAUUUCUUUUUCCUACUGCCAUGUGAAGAAGGACGUGUUUGCUUCCCCUCCUGCCAUGAUUGUAAGUUUGCUGAGGCCCUCCCAGCCCUGAGGAUCUGUGAGUCAAUUAAACCUCUUUCCUUUAUAAAUUA